UUGGGAAGCCCUGUUGCUGCGUGUUCCUGCGUGGUGACCAUUCUUGAAACGCCUCCAAAUUUUUUUCUGUUGUGCUAAUGCAGAAUGUCGUCACGCCUACAUUUAGCAAAAGCUAUGAAGCUAUUAACUCGGAGCUGGGAAAGUGCUUUGAUGGAAAUCUAUUACGCAUGAAAAUCUGCUGCUGUGCUUCCUCCAAAUUAUUCUUCCUUACUUUGAGACAAACGCUUCAAAAUAUUCCAGUUCUAGUAAGGAGAGCAAAGUACCACACCGAGAUCUUUUUUCCUCCGAGGCUUAGUGAGUAGCUCCUUUACGAUAGCUACUUUAAAAGUGUGGCUAAAAGUCUGCCACCCACAGUCUUUACGUGUUACGUGAGAGGAUUGAAUACACUGUACGCUUAUAUCAUCGCUAAUUUUGUCCCCAGCCCUCAGCGUUAUGCUCGAGCAGCCCUCAUAGAGUGAAUAGAAAAUAUGCUACAGCUUUUCCCAGACCGAUUUGUGUUCACGCAGUUAUAGAUACUCCAACUCCCGUUCAAAAACAUCCUCGUUGCGAUUAGUGUGGUUUUCAAAACCUUUUUACAAGACCUGAGGAUUCCACCUUUUUUGUGUAGUAUGUGGGUAUGUAGUUUUGAGAUGGAAAAGCUUCGAUUUCUGACGGUAGAUACUGAACAUGCUUAAGUAACUGUUAUUCUCUCACAGAUCCUGGUCUUUUUUCACACAGGUUCUGACCUUGGGGAAAUCCAAACAAGUCAAUAGAAAAUAGAAACCAUCAGCUCUCCAUACCUCCAACAGGAGCUGCUCUGUAUAUACCAUAUGCAUAUUUCUUUGAUGGGAAGGGUGUUGGUUUCUCUUGUAGUUAGACCAGUGACUGAUUCAUCACAAAACUAUGUCUUCCUGUAAUUCACUGCUACUUCAUUCAGUUGAUUGUAUCAUAUGGAGAGAGGAGAAAUGCCAGAGCAAUACAGAGAGGUGGUUGAUAAAUUCUGUUUCAGCUGAAAAGUUGGUAUUUAUUAUCUGUGUCCUUGUGAGGAUUGUCCCUGAGGAGCUCCAGUAAUGUACAAGAACCGUGUUUUGAUAGCUGCAGUACAAACUCAGAUCAUGUUAUUUCUGAGUAAAAAGAGGAUUCCUGCCUCAAAAAGCAGGUGAAUGGGAAAAACACAGGAGCAGAUGAAUCAGGUGGUAACUGGAACUUCACCCUGUUGCUGGGACUGUUAUUGAUUCAGGUAUUAGAUGGAAUUAAAUGAAAAUAAUAAGCAGAUUUGUAAGAACAUUUUAUUAAAGAUACUGUAUCAAAGCACAGAAUAAGCUUUAAAGAUGAUGAAACUAGCCUGGAAUGUCUUCAGCGAUACUCUACAUAGUCUACGAAUAAUUGCUAAGUUACAGAACAGUCACAGCCUAUUCUAUGUCCUACACUUAGUAUACUGUUGAAGCCUGUCUUUAGGUGAUGCUAUAAACAUAAUGCCCUUUUCUUCUCUGUUUCAUGGUGGUCUUACUGUGAAGGUCCUUCCUGUUCUCUAUGGCAAGGACACCCAUUUUCUAUUAGAUUUGCCAGCUAUAUUGUGCCUUCUCCCUGCAGAAUCCCCAGGGGGAUCUGGCUUUGCCCAGAUAGCCACCAUCUUCCCCUUUGCUCCAGCACAGCCACUGGGAAGAAGCAUCAGCAUUCCAAUAUUGUACUGAAGGCUUUUAAAAUGCCUACAUUAAUGUUCAAGGUGUUAUGUGUUAACAGAGCCGAUACUUUCAACAUCUAUAUGCUGAAGUAUUUGGGACUGUGUAAUUAGAUUAAGCAACCAUAUUCAAAAAUAUCUGAACAUCUUUUCUUGCAUUUGUAUAGCAACUUUAUAAACUCAAAAAGAGUAAAGCAAGCACAGACACAUGCCCUAUACAAGCUGCAAUACAGACAGUAUUUUACACACUUCGUAACAACAGUAAUGAAAAUUAUGCCAAUUAUAUAUAAAAUUAUAGACAAACUCUUCUUGAGAUAACAGUUAUACUGAACAAUGAAACAUCCUUUUAUAGUCAUGAGUAGAAUUAGUAAGAUGCGUAACUACAGCAGAAUAUAGAUCAGCAUGUUUAGUUUGCUUACAUGUCUCAAUCUGACCCAUUGCUGUCUGGGGGAAACAAAAUAAAUGAGUAUUUUUUUUUUAAUCCAUGCUGGCCCUAAAUUGAAACUGCCUUGGUUUUUUGUUAGGGCUUUUUUUCCCCCCCAUUAAUUUAGCUGUAAGCAUCAGGAUUCCUAAAAUGCUUAAAUCUGAGCAUGCAUGCCUGAUUCUCCUCUUCAAGUAAAGUUUUGCAAGGCUUAGAUCCAGAACAAGGUGCACCCUGUGCCCUGUGAAGAUUAUUUCACAUCUACUCAUCUCCUUGUUGGUAAAAAUUUUUCACCAUUCUUGUAAUAAACCAGAGCACCAUUUCUUUACUAUCCACAUACAAGCACUGUGCUUCAUGGAAGGUCCUCUUCAGCUUGCAAAUGAUGAUCAUGGCAGCAGGGGAAUCAGGUCAGCUGGAUCUUUCUCACCAUCUUGUCCCUCCUCAGGGACCCUCUGUCCUCAGUUUUUAAGAUCUACUUUUUUUUUCACCUCAUACUUUUUUUUUUCCUUUCUUUUUUUAACAUGAUAGUUUAGCAUUGUACAUGAGUACAUACUUCUAAUGUUUGAACUAAAAAAAUCUAAACAGUUUUUGACAGAAACUCUAAGAAGCCUUAUUUCAGAAAGGGAGCACUCCAGCACAUGAAUAGCAAAUUCUGCAAACUCAUUUCAGUGCAGCCCUUAACACCUGGCAUCUGCCUGUUUUGGCUGUCUGCUCUAUGAAAGGAGUCUUCAAAUUUGUUUUUAACAGGUGUAAAUAAUAGUCACAAGGAAGUAAGUCUUAUCAUACAGAGAGGAGUCCAACACAACUUUUACUGCAAGUUCUAAUUUGACUGUUUUGGUGCCUUUUGCGACUGGUGCAGUAUGUCAAAAAAAGCAAAGGUGGUGCCAAUUCAGAUCUGGCACACGCGGUUCUGAGUUUUUAUGAAAUCUUUUGACGACCAGUUCUUCCUCAUGUCUUCUUCAAACCUGGUUCUCUCAGUUGUUCAGAAGCUUAGAAGUCCCUAUUUCACUACUGCCAUGCAGAAAAGAAAUGCAAGAAAAAUAUUAAAAGUCAGAAGCCCACACUCCAGUACUGUAUUUGCUAGCAUGAUGUGGUCCCUCCCACCUCACUACGGUGUGGUUUUGCUCCAAAUGCCCAUGCUUCAGUUCUGUUCAGAGCACCUACCACAAUCAGGAACUCUGUUUAAAAGCCAUAUGGUUCAUUUCCUUCAACCCCUACCCUACCAAAACAUAUCUUAACCUUCAACCAUGUUUUGACCUUGUUUCAGAAACUUUUGUUUGUUUCAUUCUCCUUUGUCUUCCAUUUGCAAAACAGCUAAAGAUUUGCUGAAGAAAAACUUCACUUUACAUUCCAGCAGUGGUUUAUGACUUAGCUUAGUGGAUGCUCAAAAAACUGCAUGACUUUUAUUUCCUCUCAGCCUGGACUUCUCAUAGCUUGGACCCCCCCUCCCCCACCCUGGAAUACUUAUUACUGCUUCAUAUUUGCCUCUGUUUGGGAGUUUUGUUUGUUCGUUUUUUUCUUGCCUAACUCAGAGGUACCUGUUAUAGAUUUACUUAACUCUUGUCACCAAAUUCUUAUUUUUUUGGUUAAAUGCAGAUAAAUGAUAUAAACAUCUACAAUUCCCAUAAGUCUCUUUUGACCAAACUAAUUUAUAACAAAUAUGAGCAGCUCUGUAUCCGAUACGAACAGUGAAGAAAUUGGAAACAUACGGAUGUAACUUUUAAAGACAAUUCCCAGGCUUUUUUCCCUUGGUGCACUGACUGCUUUCUCUGGAUAUGUAAAUCAUGUUGCACAAAGUAUACAGCUGUCCCACUUCUGGCUAAUUUACACUUGCUGUUUCUAUGCACACUAUGGCAGCCUUGGAAAAGUCUCAAGGCUGCACAUGAAUCCAGGUUUAUCAGCUGUCUACAUUACUUACCUGCUAGAGCAUCCUCAAGGCCAGCUCAGGGCUAAAUUUGCUGGCACACUUCUGAGAGGAAAGUCUUAGGAGUGGUGCCCCACACUUCAGCAUGCAUUAUAGCAUACCCUGUGUGACAUGUGGCCAGGCCCUUUUAGCAUAUGCCAGGUCCACAACUGACUGUAUAUUUUACCUGCCCUCGGUGUCAUGUCACAUACUGACGGUGGGCAAAAAAGCAACCUGGGACAAAUUACUUUCAUUUCAUGACAGGAGGGUGAUGUGAACAUGUGGGUCUAGGGCAAACUACUAGCUUCAAAGUACUGCUGGUUCUGGCAGUAAGUCCAUGUGUCUACCUACUACUUUCUUCAAAUCUCUGAGGAGAAUUCAUUGGACUGGUGCUGUUAUCUCAAAAUAGCUUUUACUUGACUAGGUUUUACUAGUCAAUUUACUUUUACUCAAAGGUCAGGACCUUUUACUCAAAGGUCAGGAAAUGCCUUUUGUUUUGUUUGUUUGUAAACAAAGAAAGGAGGAAAAAAGGGAUUUCUAACUACAGUAUGCAUGUGAACAUUAUUUUUCCCCAGGCAACAUCAGCAUUUAACACUGGUGUUUAUUAAGAUGCCGGCCUGCAUUUUACAGUCAAAGAAAGAUCUCUGUUAUUUGUAGAUCACACAUAGCUCACGCAGCGUGACUGAGCUUCUUUACACCACCACCCUCAAAUACACCAACUACGCUGUUUGGGACCACCUCUGAGUGUGGGAAGGUGGGUUGCCUAUGAAUAUUAAAUUACAUUUUUCCGAUGAGUCUGCAAAAAUACUGUUAAUCAGUGCCAACUGUGGUGGUGUGGUGUACAUACAGAACUGUGAACACCUGAGAACUGCUGGCACUGGUGACAGCUUUUAGCCCACAGUAAGCUAGACUCGAGGUAAAAUGUUGUGCCCUCCUCCCAGGCUCAAAAAUCCUCUAGCUACCCUGAAAACAGAAGCUGCCUAAGGAAUGCACAGCUGCAAGAGGAUCUGCUUCACUCUUCACACAGUAAACUCUGCUCAACAGUGGAAAUGUUUUGAGUUUUUUAAAUAGAAAUAUGCAUGUUUCCAGUUAGCCACCAGAUGGAGCUCAUACCUCCCCAUCACACAAAUCAUGAACAUCUGCAAAGUUAAAGCUCUUCUGAGAUGUUACAAAGGAUGCAGUUUUUCCACUUCAUAAAAGUCAGAGGAAGUCUGUGAUUAGCUGGAUGUUUACAAAUAAAAGGAGGAUCUGGAGAUAGAUCAAAGAUAAUUCUCCAGAUUUGACAUGAUAUGAAGUUCCUGUACUAAUAGCAUCUGCAUCAGUUUGACUGUUCCAUUAUGUGUUUGAUCUCGUCAUGUAUUAAGAAUGGUUUUUUAAUGCUUAGUGCAUUUAUUAGAAGUCUGAAGAUUCAGACAGCUGAAAAAACCCCAUAAAACCAACACCUUACAGCUAACAAGAUCUCCCAGAUUCCAUUUAAGAGAGGCACCCGCUUGGUUCUUCCUCACCCUGCUUUCUGCAAUGUAAAGGGAAUCAAGAGGCAAAGAUAAGCAGUCUUCCAAAAUAUGAAGAAUGUAAUACUUCAAGCUUAGUAAACAGGAGCAGUAGCACUUAAAGCCUGUUCUCUCAUGAUCUAAAUAGCUCUGAUGGCCCAAUCAUACCAUACAGGCUUUUUACUGAGCAGUCUACGGUUCAUCCAGGAUCUCAGUAACUUUGGCAUAGCCCCAAUGACUGUGGAGAAAGGCAGAUCCAAAAUAAAAGAUUGUGGUGUGUGAAAUACACAGAGUUAAUCUAUAUGUGUUUUAAGGGACAUCUUUGUUUUGACUCUGAGUAACAAACCAACAUAGCUUGUGAGGUCUGGAAGGCCACAGACUAUUCCUACUUUCAUAGUACUGCUCUGUUUGAAGCUAGUAUUUCUAUUUGGGGUCUAAGCCACACUGAACUUGAUCAAAUAAACAUUCUCCAAAGGAAACUGCCUUUCAACUAUUUAACUCUUUGCCCAGCAAACUAAAAGUGAAGGACCUGUAAUAAUUACUGUAUGAUUUAUUGUGUAUUAAGUAACUCAUUUUUCAGUUUUCAAGUUACUGUUCAUCAGGACCUCUGUCUUUUCCAGCAGAACUGACCAUGUUAGCAACGGCCAGUAAAAUCAAAGUGAAACUCAACCCUGUCUGAAAGCAGACUAGGUGGGGCUAAUUCUCAUACUUCCAGGCAUGCAGACUGUGCCAGUGUCAUGUUUGGCAGCAUAUGUGAGCGUACACAAAUUAUAUUUAAUCUACUUGAUAGCACAGCAGCCCAGAGAUCUGAGCUCUCUCCUGGGCUGUCGGACAUACUAACAAUUUCUUCAUCCGUUCUAAGGGAUCCUAGCAUCUAUUUCAUCCUUCUAUAAUACUACCGUAUCUGUCCUGAAAGAGCGAUAUUCUAGAUUUCAUCUUUUAAAUUGUUUCUACUUUGUGUAAGUAGUUAAAUAACCAAUGGCUAGAAACCAGAACCUAAGUAGUUUGGCAGCUGCGGCUCUACCAGCAGGUACCAAUAGGAACUCCAUAGGCAGCGAGUAAACAGAGGCACCAUCUUUAGCAUCCUGAAUAAAUGUUCUCAUGAUGACUUGUGUAAAAGGAAGGAGUGUAACCGAUACCAGAAGGCUGGUGUAUCUAUUGCCAAAACCAAAAGUAAUUUAUGGUAUUCGGCAAACUCUGUUUUUGGUUUUUUUUAGCCAGCAUAUCUGCAUUUCCACAAACUUUCAUGGUCUUGGGGCUUUUGCCAUGGAGAGAAGGACAUUACUUUAUUUCUCCCAUUCAUUUUCUGGGGAAUCAGAAGCAGAAGUCACUCUGGUGACCAUCCCCAGUGUAGUGGGAUGGUUACCUAAAAAAGGAGAGAAUAGGUUAUUACCGAGUGGUGUAGGCUCAAUUGAACAUGUGAGAACUAUUAUAAAAGGCAAGUUCUUAGCCCUAGUCACUGCUUUAGAACAGGAAGCAUGCACAUCUUCCCAUUUCAAAAAAACACAAGGCAAACAGAAGAGCCAGAAGGAUGAAUUUUUUAAAUAGCA